ACAAUGGUUUUCCAAGCCUCAAGAAAUUUAGCCAAAUUACUGUCUCUAAUCAAAGGGAUCACUUUGAUCAUCUCAGCUGGUUCCAUUAAUUUCAAGAUCCAUUCCUCCACUAUAGGUAGUCUUACGGUGUAAAAAGGUGUACUUCUGCUUGAAUAUUCCAAGAACAUCAGUAGAACAAAUAUUACAGCCAUGAUACCAAAGCAUUUCCAUACACUUCAUCAAAGAUACCUAGAAUCUGAUGAGCAAUCUGUUCGAGAGUCAACUUUCCCUAGGGACCACAGGAGAUGCUUUCAUGCCCAUGAAACUGACUUGAGGUUCAGAGAAGAGAGGAAACACAACAUUCAAAAAUCUCUAAUUGUGUAGAAGCCUUCCAUUUCCUUGUAGACAGAUUUAGUUGACAAAUGUUCACACUUGGAGCCUCGAAGGAAGAAUAAUGACCACACCUCCGAUUUUCUCAGAUGAAACUACACAUAAAAUAUUUAAUUGAUUCUUCAGCAGUUGUGAGCCGGUGACAAAGGUAGACAGGUUGCAGUGGCCUCCUUUUAGCUGCAGUUUGGACCACACGCUCCACCAGAGGAGCCAGUCUGUCAGGCUAAAAAGGAGCUGAAUUGGAAAUACCAAGCAGCCAUGGAAAGAAGGGUCCCUAGGAGGCACGACUCUUUAAAACCCAAGGCACAUUUUAAACCUUCCCUCAGGCAGCUCAUAGUUGAUGUUUAAUUAUUUAGCAGACCACCUAAACUGACAAUAACUUUGGCAUCAAUACAUGAGGAAUAGUCACAAAAGAACGAAACUUGUAUCUUUUAAAACACCCUCUAAUAUACUGGAUGCAGAUGGGCUUUUCUUGAUCAGAAAGCAGGCUUGGCUUGAUGAGGCAGCAGCAGGGUUGCUCUUGUACAAAGGUAGCUAUUGUAGACCCAAGCGAUAAAUAAAGAAAUGCUUUUCUCCCUUUAA